GGCAGCCCAGGGGCAGCAUUGGGGAAUCUUGCACAAUGGGUGAAAGCCUGAGGCAGCAGACGCCGCGUGGGGGAUGAAGGUUUCGGAKUGUAAACCCCUUUCGACCGGGACGAAUACCUCGCAAGAGGGUGACGGURCCCGGAUAAGAUSCCGCSGCUAACYMCGRGCCAGCAGCCGCGGUAAU
rnacentral:rRNA from 1 species